AAGAAGUGGAUCUGCUGGCAGCCAGGGCUUCUAAUGGUUUCACAUACCUCAGCUUUUUGUCAGUUUUGGGCCUCCAUAGUGAAGGGAAAAUUGGAAACUGCAUCUUAAGAGGUUCGCAAAAUAAAUCUCAGCGGAGAGCAGAAAUCAUCUCCACCGAUCUGUACACCCCUGCUACGGUACCUCGACUGACUCCUUC